rnacentral:snRNA from 1 species
GUGCUUGCUUCAGCAGCACAUAUACUAAAAUUGGAACAAUACAGAGAAAAUUAGCAUGGAUGACACGCAAAUUCAUGAAGCAUUCCAUAUUUUU